AACAAGCUUCCACCCGUCGCUAUCCCCAUCGUUCUUCGCUGAUCGGGAAUCGGGAGUGGUGCAGCAGAGGCUUUCGAUCCUUGUUCUGCCAUGGGAGUUCACUUCCAGCUCUGCACGAUGACUAUAAGAACAGGCACACAAUCGAAAUUCAAUCAUAGAAUUAUUACAAACGGUUUUGGACUAAAAAGAAAAGAUGAAAUAGAAUUCAUUCAAUCAGCUUGGCAAAGAGGGAGGCCAGAAUUGGGGUGGGAUCCCCAACAAUGAUACUAACGAUGGUCUUGAUCAAGAUCUUGAGGAUUUUGAGAAUCCUUUUACAUCCUCUCUUCCGACGACUAAUUUCUUUCAGCUGCAUCUUAAUCUUCAUCUUCACAACGAGAUAUUGUCCGGCAGUGUUUUCUCUGCUCCUGUCCAAUUCAUCAAACACCAUAUCAAUAACACAAUCCACAUCAACAUGGGAAAAGAUCAGAGCAGAGAAGAGAUUUGAGAAUAUGCAGAAUGGGAUGUGUGGCAUAUUUAAUGAGCAUAUGACUUCAGCUACUUUUCUCCGACUCCAUGCAUUGACAUUCCAUAUGAAUUUGAACGAAAUUUCUCCAACACUGGCACACAAUCGAAAUUGAAACAUAGUAUUACAAACGCAUUUGGAGUAAAAGAAAAGAUGAAAUACAAUUCCGAAGGAAAAGGCGAAGCAAAAGUCAAAGAAGUUUCAUGCAAUCAGUUGGACAAAGAGGGAGGCCAAAAUCAUGGUGGGAUCCCCAAGUAUGAUACUAAUGACGGUCUGGAUGAAGAUCUUGAGGAUUCUCAGCAUCUUGUUACCUCCUCCGCCUUUCUUCGGACGGCUAAUUUCUUUCAGAUUCACAUUCAGAGCCAAAGAUUUUUCAGCAGUGUUUCCUCCGCUUCUGUUCAAUUCAUUUAAAACCAUUUCAGUAACACAAGCCACAUGAACAUGGUAGUUGCCGCAUUCAGAGAUGUAGGACCACCCUUUGCCUUUGCCUUUGCCGCCGUGUUUGGGGCGCUUACUCUUGCACCACGUGCACUUCCGUUUCACCUUCUUGUGGAGAUUGAACUCCACGCCUUCAAUUUGGUAACUAUUUUUGAGGUUUCGGCAGCAUGGGUGGAGGUCCAAGUCAUCUUCCUCGCAGUGGAACACGAAGCCAUUGAUGGUUUUUCUGCAAGCGUCGCACCUUACUAUGGUCUCGUGGCAGCAUUUUGGUGGGUUUCUGAGGAACUCAAAGGUGGAACCCGGAAAGAAUUCAUGGGAAUUCGGUGCAUUGUGUGCAAACAUACAGGCUCUGUGGAGAUCAAAAUCGCAUUUUUCGCAUCGGUAUCGAGGGCCGAAUCCUGUUUCCUUGCAGCCAUCGCAGGUGUAAGGUUUCUGAUACUCCUUCAGCUCCAAUUCAUGCAUCUGGUGGCUUGGAUUGCGCAAGGUCCCCAUCGCCAUAUCUCUGUGUUGCCUUCAAAAGAAAAAACAAGAACAAAGCCAAAGAACAAUUCUGGGAGCAGGGAAAAGAUCUGAGCAGAGAAGAGAUUUGAGAAUAUGCAGAAUGGAAUGCGUGGCUAUAUAUAAUGAAAUCGAAGGCGUUGAGUUUCAGGUCGGAAGCUUCUGAUCAGUCUUUGGAUUCUCGGGGAGGGGAAGGAAGGGAUAGCUGAUUCGAGAGCAGCAAUGAGAGUUCCUUAUAUCUCUCAUUUAUAAACUCUUUAAGCCUCUUCCUCUUGCACCACAUGCACUUCCCUUUGAGUUCUGGGCAGCAGGGGUGGAGAUCCAAGUUGUCUUUCUCGCAGUGGUACACAACGCCAUUGAUUGGCUUUUUGCAGGCGUCGCGGUUCCCUUUGCAUCCGUCGUGGCAGGCUCUCGGUGGGGUUCUAAGGAAUUUGAAGGUGUAAGGUUUCAGGUACAACUUCGGCUACAGUUCAUGCUCUGGAUGGCUUGGAUUGAUCGCCAUUUCUUUGUGUUACCUUUAAGAGAAAGAAUUGUGACUAUGUGGAUUGAGAAGAUUGCAGGAAGAGCAGGGAAGUCAUCUGGGGAGCUUGAAGACUUUUUAGUUUGAUUUGCUUCUUAAGCGGAUCCGCUAACCCGAGUGCUUGCCUAAGCACUUAUCUUUGCAUCGGUUUUCAGCUUGAUAUGAACCCGAACUUGAGAUUGUCAUACCACUCGUAGGCAAGACCAUUAAUUCUCCUGAACCUCUCUAACU